AACCCAUGAUGAAGGCACAAUCUCAACAUCUCCUUGAAGUUAUCCCAAGCUUCAUAGAGAAAUUCUCUAUCCUUAUGAUAAAAUCUUGUCAUUUGAUUUCUCAAUU